rnacentral:rRNA from 1 species
UUGCCCUAGUAACGGCGAGUGAAGCGGCAAGAGCUCAGAUUUGAAAUCUGGCGCCUUCGGCGUCCGAGUUGUAAUCUGUAGAGGAUGCUAUUGGGUAGCCACCGGUCUAAGUCCCCUGGAACGGGGCGUCGCAGAGGGUGAGAAUCCCGUAUGUGACCGGAAGGGCGCCCUCCACAUAGCUCCUUCGACGAGUCGAGUUGUUUGGGAAUGCAGCUCUAAAUGGGAGGUAAAUUCCUUCUAAAGCUAAAUACCGGCCAGAGACCGAUAGCGCACAAGUAGAGUGAUCGAAAGAUGAAAAGCACUUUGGAAAGAGAGUUAAAAAGCACGUGAAAUUGUUGAAAGGGAAGCGCUUGCAACCAGACUUGUUGGCGGUGUUCCGCCGGUCUUCUGACCGGUGUACUCACCGUCUGCAGGCCAGCAUCAUCUGGGGCCGCUGGAUAAAAGCGGGGGGAAUGUGGCUCCUCCGGGAGUGUUAUAGCCCCUCGUGCAAUACGGCGUGCCUCGGGUGAGGUCCGCGCUUCGGCUAGGAUGCUGGCGUAAUGGUCGUAAGCGGCCCGUCUUGAAACACGGACCAAGGAGUCUAACAUCUAUGCGAGUGUUCGGGUGUCAAACCCCUACGCGUAAUGAAAGUGAACGGAGGUGGGAGCCUUAGGGUGCACCAUCGACCGAUCCUGAUGUCUUCGGAUGGAUUUGAGUAAGAGCAUAGCUGUUGGGACCCGAAAGAUGGUGAACUAUGCCUGGAUAGGGUGAAGCCAGAGGAAACUCUGGUGGAGGCUCGCAGCGGUUCUGACGUGCAAAUCGAUCGUCAAAUUUGGGUAUAGGGGCGAAAGACUAAU